rnacentral:rRNA from 1 species
CCUACGGGAGGCAGCAGUGGGGAAUAUUGCACAAUGGGGGAAACCCUGAUGCAGCGACGCCGCGUGAGUGAAGAAGUAAUUCGGUAUGUAAAGCUCUAUCAGCAGGGAAGAAAAUGACGGUACCUGAGUAAGAAGCCCCGGCUAACUACGUGCCAGCAGCCGCGGUAAUACUUAGGGGGCAAGCGUUAUCCGGGUUUACUGGGGGGAAAGGGGGCGUAGGCGGGAGUGCAAGUCUGGAGGGAAAGGCGGGGGCUCAACCCCCGGACUGCUCUGGAAACUGCACGGCUGGAGUGCAGGAGAGGUAAGUGGAAUGCCUAGUGUAGCGGUGAAAUGCGUAGAUAUUAGGCGGAACACCAGUGGCGAAGGCGGCUUACUGGACUGUAACUGACGUUGAGGCUCGAAAGCGUGGGGAGCAAACAGGAUUAGAUACCCCAGUAGUC